rnacentral:tRNA from 1 species
GUACUUGUAGCUCAGUUGGUAGAGCACCUGACUUUUAAUCAGGGUGUCGUGGAUUCGAGUUCCACCGGGUACACCA